AACAGGAAGAGAGUUUAUGAUCCCACACCUGGACUGUUGCCAGCUGACCCUGCCAACUUCAUCAGCAACUUGCAAGAAAUAUCUCCGAGCUGCCUUCUACUCCGCUAUGCAGAGAAGCCCAGGGCGUCAGAAGAAAGCACAACAGAGACCAUUGCUGCAAAAGUAAUAAAUGAUGGAUGCUGCAACCAGCCAUAUAUAGCCGACAGUGAAGAUUUGCUGAGCAUGACAAACUCGAGAAUUAUUCAAGAGAGAUUUGAUGCAAUUCAGCCCCUGAGCCUCGACGACAGGGCAGUCAUUUUAGAAAGCACAAUGGGCCAGGCAGAGAACGAGAAGUGGCAUCAGGAACGUAUUGGACGGCUCACGGCAUCAGUGUUUAAGAAGUUGCUGCGGUGCAGAAAGCCUGAUGGUGCCGUAAGGGACGUAAUGUAUCCUCGCCAAGUGAGCACCGAAGCCAUGCGUUAUGGCAGGAUUCAUGAGGACGAUGCCGUUAAAGCAUACAAAGAAAUAAUGGCAUGCAGGGACAGAUAUUUAACUACUGCAUAUACUGGGUUGCAUGUUCAUCCCCAGCACCCAUUUAUUGCUGCCUUCCCCGACAGACUUGUCUUUGAAGGGAGUGACACUGGUCUUUUGGAGGUGAAGUGCCCAUUCUCCUUCAAAGGCAAGGGUGUCGUCGAAGCAGCAGCUUCUGCAAAGUGCUGUUUGAAAAUAUCUGGUGACAAUAUAGAAUUGAAAAAAGAUCAUGCAUAUU